rnacentral:rRNA from 1 species
AGGCAUGGCGGCAUGCUUACCAUGCAGUCGAACGGCAGCACGGGAGCAAUCCUGGUGGCGAGUGGCGAACGGGUGAGUAAUACAUCGGAACGUGUCCUGGAGUGGGGGAUAGCCCGGCGAAAGCCGGAUUAAUACCGCAUACGCUCUGUGGAGGAAAGGGGGGGAUCUUAGGACCUCCCGCUCAAGGGGCGGCCGAUGGCAGAUUAGCUAGUUGGUGGGGUAAAGGCCUACCAAGGCGACGAUCUGUAGCUGGUCUGAGAGGACGACCAGCCACACUGGGACUGAGACACGGCCCAGACUCCUACGGGAGGCAGCAGUGGGGAAUUUUGGACAAUGGGGGAAACCCUGAUCCAGCAAUGCCGCGUGUGUGAAGAAGGCCUUCGGGUUGUAAAGCACUUUUGUCCGGAAAGAAAACCAUCGCCCUAAUAUGGUGGUGGGAUGACGGUACCGGAAGAAUAAGCACCGGCUAACUACGUGCCAGCAGCCGCGGUAAUACGUAGGGUGCAAGCGUUAAUCGGAAUUACUGGGCGUAAAGCGUGCGCAGGCGGUUCGCUAAGACAGAUGUGAAAUCCCCGGGCUUAACCUGGGAACUGCAUUUGUGACUGGCGGGCUAGAGUAUGGCAGAGGGGGGUAGAAUUCCACGUGUAGCAGUGAAAUGCGUAGAGAUGUGGAGGAAUACCGAUGGCGAAGGCAGCCCCCUGGGCCAAUACUGACGCUCAUGCACGAAAGCGUGGGGAGCAACAGGUA